rnacentral:tRNA from 1 species
GCCGGCGUAGCCCAACUGGCAGGAGGCACGGUCUUUAGGUGACCGACAGUGCGGGUUCGAAUCCCGUCGCCGGUACAA